GACCGUGUUGGACUCGCGAUGCAUCUAGAUUAGAGUUUGAUCAUGGCUCAGAUUGAACGCUGGCGGCAGGCCUAACACAUGCAAGUCGGACGGUAGCACAGAGGAGCUUGCUCCUUGGGUGACGAGUGGCGGACGGGUGAGUAAUGUCUGGGGAUCUGCCCGAUAGAGGGGGAUAACCACUGGAAACGGUGGCUAAUACCGCAUAACGUCGCAAGACCAAAGAGGGGGACCUUCGGGCCUCUCACUAUCGGAUGAACCCAGAUGGGAUUAGCUAGUAGGUGGGGUAAUGGCCCACCUAGGCGACGAUCCCUAGCUGGUCUGAGAGGAUGACCAGCCACACUGGAACUGAGACACGGUCCAGACUCCUACGGGAGGCAGCAGUGGGGAAUAUCGCACAAUGGGCGCAAGCCUGAUGCAGCCAUGCCGCGUGUAUGAAGAAGGCCUUCGGGUUGUAAAGUACUUUCAGCGGGGAGGAAGGCGACGGGGUUAAUAACCCUGUCGAUUGACGUUACCCGCAGAAGAAGCACCGGCUAACUCCGUGCCAGCAGCCGCGGUAAUACGGAGUUCGAAGGUGCAAGCGUUAUCGGAAUACUGGGCUUAAGCGCACGCAAGCGUCUGUUAAGUCAGAUGUGAAUCCCCGGGCUUAACUGGGAAUGCAUUUGAAACUGGCAGGCUUGAGUCUUGUAGAGGGGGGUAGAAUUCAAGUGUAGCGGUGAAAUGCGUAGAGAUCUGGAGGAAUACCGGUGGCGAAGGCGGCCCCCUGGGACAAAAGACUGACGCUCAGGUGCGAAAGCGUGGGGAGCAAAACAGGAUUAGAUACCCUGGUAGUCACGCCGUAAACGAUGUCGACUUGGAGGUUGUUCCCUUGAGGAGUGGCUUCCGGAGCUAACGCGUUAAGUCGACCGCCUGGGGAGUACGGCCGCAAGGUUAAAACUCAAAUGAAUUGACGGGGGCCCGCACAAGCGGUGGAGCAUGUGGUUUAAUUCGAUGCAACGCGAAGAACCUUACCUACUCUUGACAUCCAGCGAACUUAGCAGAGAUGCUUUGGUGCCUUCGGGAACGCUGAGACAGGUGCUGCAUGGCUGUCGUCAGCUCGUGUUGUGAAAUGUUGGGUUAAGUCCCGCAACGAGCGCAACCCUUAUCCUUUGUUGCCAGCGAUUCGGUCGGGAACUCAAAGGAGACUGCCAGUGAUAAACCGGAGGAAGGUGGGGAUGACGUCAAGUCAUCAUGGCCCUUACGAGUAGGGCUACACACGUGCUACAAUGGCGCAUACAAAGAGAAGCGACCUCGCGAGAGCAAGCGGACCUCACAAAGUGCGUCGUAGUCCGGAUCGGAGUCUGCAACUCGACUCCGUGAAGUCGGAAUCGCUAGUAAUCGUGGAUCAGAAUGCCACGGUGAAUACGUUCCCGGGCCUUGUACACACCGCCCGUCACACCAUGGGAGUGGGUUGCAAAAGAAGUAGGUAGCUUAACCUUCGGGAGGGCGCUUACCACUUUGUGAUUCAUGACUGGGGUGAAGUCGUAACAAGGUAACCGUAGGGGAACCUGCGGCUGGAUCACCUCCUUA
rnacentral:rRNA from 1 species